rnacentral:snRNA from 1 species
GAAUGUGAGGACAAUCUGGCUGUGACAUCUGUCACCCCACUGAUUGCCAAGGUUGAUUCAGCUGACCUGGCUAGCUAGGUAAGUGUCCCCUUCCUCCUUCACCACUCCUUGUGUGUCCCUCCUGAAGCUGCUAAGCUGAGCACUUGGUCAAAGAAUACAACCUUCCCUGAAUAGAGACAGACUAGUCAACCUCCAG